AGGGUAUAAAUAGGUGCCUCGUGAGGCUAGCAAGGAAAAUCAACAAACAUCAAUACAAAUCUACUUUUUCACACAACUUUACUUUCAAGUUGGCAACUUGGCCAAACUCUUUUUCUUUUCACGAGUUCGUGCAAGUUGGCAGGGCUGCAUCAAUGUGAUCUCCAGCCAAUUUGUAAGUUCCACAUUUCGAGUAACAUCUAAGCUUUGACCUCGGGCGUAUUGCUGUCGUCUCGG
rnacentral:lncRNA from 1 species